rnacentral:tRNA from 1 species
GCCCUCGUGGCCCAACUGGCAGAGGCGGCGGCGGCAUGAGGUGCCGCAGGUUCCGCGUUCGAGUCUCGGCGAGGGCA